UCCUAAAGUUCUUACGGAAACACAAACGAUCCUGAAAAGGCAACAUAAUCCUGAGCAAAGGGAUUAACAGAAUGCUAGAGGGGUCCAUGCUCCAGAUCCUGGGUUCUAUCGCAGAGCCAUGGUGAUGAGGACAGUACAGCACAAAAGCAGACACGAAGACCCAAACAAAACCAGACACUGUUGUCUCCUAAGAAGAUUGCUGUGGAUUACUUUUCUGACUUGGACACAGCUACAGACAUGAGAAGUGUCAGCUUUGACUUUUAAUACAUGGGAUAAAUUCUAGCACCCUGGGGAGUUUUCCCAAUUUUUGCCCAAGUUCUUCUUGUAAACAAGAAAUAAAAAGGCUUGACUUCCCAACCACCAUCUCACUUGCUGCCAGCUUCCUCUGUGACCUCUCUGUGUCUCAGGACUUCAUGCUGAUCAGUGACCACGUGAUGAAGGUCUAUGAGUCUCCUUAAGGUGCCUCGAAGCUGUGUCUAGUGUCGUAUAUCCACCAUGUUCUUCAGAGUAAUCCAGCCAACAGCACAGUGGCUGAAGCCUGCUGGAUAAAGAUGCUGCAGAUUCUGCUGACGAUGCUAAACCUGUGGUAAACCAAAGGGGCUGCAGAGACCACUCUGUGCACCUGCCGCAUUAGGAGGUGGCUGCUCUGAGCCAAGGGUCUCCAAGGUCCACAAAGCAAUGUUUCCAGGAAUCCAUGAAUGUAACUGAGGGUCUUCCUUACACAAUCAGCAGGAAGCUGAGGGCGAUCUAAUGACAAACAGAAAACUCAACUCCAAGUGCUCUGUUUCUCCCAUACCUGGGAAGGUUUCACUGUACUAAACUUAUGUGCCUGGCUAUCAUCUGUUCCAUUGGGUCACAUUCUUUCCCAUGAAACUCUAAUCUCUCCUGCAAGUAUGGGCAUUUACUAAUUUGCUCAACAAAUACUGUGGUCACUGUGCUGACUCUGAAGAGAGGGGAGAGAAGGAAGGGGAGGCAGGAGUGGGGGAGUAG
rnacentral:sRNA from 1 species